UGUCUGUUGUCCCAGCAGUGUCCCCUCUUAACUUCUUGAGAUGUCCCAACCUCCUCUCUGGUGGGGUGAGGAGCUGAAAAAGCCCUGAUUCUGUAACCAUACAGGACUUUGCAAGGAGGCUGCAGCUCUGCAUGUUUCUGGCUGCGGGGAUUGUCCAAGACCUCUUGCUGACUCUUGGUCACACAGUCUUUUAGCGUGCAGGAGAUGCCAGUUGUUGAGAAGCUGUGCUGCCAAGUGCUUUGUGUGGAGGUCAACAGACUGUGCAGUAUCAGAAAUUAUAAGAAAGAGAUCAACCAGAUCUCCUCUGAGCUCUUCACUUUCAGGACUCUGAAUCUCUAACUGCAGGGGUAGAAAGAUCCUCUACCUGUGAAAUCAGAAAUGAAGACUCUCAUUGCAAAAAAGGCCAGAAGCCGAUGAUUUCUCCUACCAGAAGAAAAGGUUCUGCUUUGUUAAUCAUCACUGGAGAAUAAGAUGAGAAUGAUCAAGAAAUGUUUAUGACAAGAGCGAUCUGAAUUAGAAUUAAAAAAUGCCUCAAAAAAUUGUCAUGGAUUAACCUUAGCCAGAUUUUAGGCACCCACUAAAGUCACUCUGAGCUGGGAGAGGUCACACAGGCAAACCAAAAACUCAGCGUGGGGUUAAUACUUAAAUUUAAUACUAACAGGAUAAGAUCUAAAGACUGAGAAAUAAAACAGUCUUAAACACACUUUCCACCCACCCCUCCUUCCUUCCAUGUUCUCCCUCCUCCCCCUGCAGCGGGGCAGGGAGACAAGUCCACUCCCUUGGACAACAGGUCUUCCAAAUCUGCUGUCCUGUAGGUCACUCUUCCAUGGGCUACAGGGGGACAGCCUGCUCCACCAUGGUCCUCACCAUGGAUUACAGGGGGGGCCAUAACUCUGAGUCCUUCCCCUGCUCUGUGGGGUCCCUCCCAGGAGUAGCAGUCCUUGACGGACCUCUCCAGCGUGGGUCCACUCCUCAGGCAGUAGUUCUUCCAUAUCUACUGUCCUGAGGGUCACUUCAUCCUUCAUAGGAUGCAGUCCUCCAUAGGAUGAGCUGCACUGAUGUGCAGCUGCAACUGCACAGGGCCACGAGUCCUACCCGGAAAUAACCUGCUCUGGCGUGGAUUUUCCUCUCCACCCCCUCCCUCCGCAGCAGGGGAGGUGGCAGGGCCGCCCAGGAGCUUCGGUCAGCUCUCCCCUGGCUCAAAAAAAUUAUUCUGCGCAACAAACUUGUUCUUAAAUAUGUUAUCACAGAGGUACAAUUAUUGGCUCUCCCUUGGGAAGCAGCAGGAAGUCCCUCCUGUAGCCAGCUAUCGUUGGCUUCACGGGGGGGAAACUUCUAGCAGCUUCUAACCAAAGCCACCCUAUGUAGCCCCCCACUCCCC